UUAUUGCUCCAUCAACCGAUGCAGCAAGGAGGGAGCAGGAUAAUUUUUGGGAAAACAAAAAAACUCUUUGGUUUCUGGUUUCUUCAUCACUAAUAACGCACACAUGGGUGACAGGAAGCAUAAGUCGAUUCCAUUCCAAUAUCAAAGACACAAGCGAUCAACAAUCUUACUUCUUUUUCUUUCUUCUCAAAACUAUGAAGCUUACCAACGAUUUCAGUUCUAACAAAGCUUACCAACGAUUUUAGAAGCCUCAGAUUUGUUACCUGCUUGAAGUUUCAAAAUCAGAAGUAAUCAGUAAAUCGGAGGAACAAUGAUAUGAGUUUUCGUAAAUCAUAACUCAAAAGGAACAAGGAAUUAAGUUUUGAUACCCUCUUGGUGAUUUGAAGUGUGGAAAAUCUAGAACCAAGAAGCCAAUAAUAUAGAAGCCAUUUUCUUUUUUGUGUAUUAUUUUGAUUGAAAUUUUAAUUUUAUGUAUUUGCAGUAGGAAAUUAAAAUUUAUAAUAUUUUUGCUUAAAUCUUUGAGGUUUUUCAAAAUUUAGGACUCAUUUUUAUUAAAUUGCAAUGGGUCUUCAAAAUCUCCAGGCCGGCCUGACUAUAGGGAUCAUCCAUUCUCACACUAUCCUUUGUUUGAUAAACACGACUGUGUAACAAAGUAACAACAGCUGCUAUACAAAUUAUGACACCAAAAUCAUGUGCAUACAAUUUUGUAUUUGAUUCAUGAUAAACUAAUGGUUGUCGUGAGAGAAAAAUCAUUGUGGGAAAACUAAAAGACCAACAAAAGGUACGGCAUUCCCAACAAAAUAUAUAUCAUGCCAAUGCGCAACACAUAAUGCAUUAGGC